rnacentral:snRNA from 1 species
AAGCUAAGUCCAACUCCAACUAG